rnacentral:rRNA from 1 species
UACGUAGGGGGCGAGCGUUGUCCGGAAUUAUUGGGCGUAAAGAGCUCGUAGGCGGCCUGUUGCGUCUGCUGUGAAAACCCGGAACUUAACCCCGAAUCUGCAGUGGAUACGGGCAGGCUAGAGUUCGGCAGGGGAGACUGGAAUUCCUGGUGUAGCGGUGAAAUGCGCAGAUAUCAGGAGGAACACCGGUGGCGAAGGCGGGUCUCUGGGCCGAUACUGACGCUGAGGAGCGAAAGCGUGGGGAGCGAACAGG